rnacentral:rRNA from 1 species
AUUGAACGCUGGCGGCAUGCCUUACACAUGCAAGUCGAACGGCAGCACGGGAGCAAUCCUGGUGGCGAGUGGCGAACGGGUGAGUAAUAUAUCGGAACGUGCCCAGUCGUGGGGAUAACGUAGCGAAAGCUACGCUAAUACCGCAUACGAUCUAUGGAUGAAAGCGGGGGAUCGCAAGACCUCGCGCGAUUGGAGCGGCCGAUAUCAGAUUAGCUAGUUGGUGGGGUAAAGGCCUACCAAGGCGACGAUCUAUAGCUGGUCUGAGAGGAUGAUCAGCCACACUGGGACUGAGACACGGCCCAGACUCCUACGGGAGGCAGCAGUGGGGAAUUUUUGGACAAUGGGCGAAAGCCUGAUCCAGCAAUGCCGCGUGCAGGAAG